CAGAGGGGGCAAGCGUUGUUCGGAAUUACUGGGCGUAAAGGGCGCGUAGGCGGCCUCUUAAGUCGAACGUGAAAUCCCCGGGCUCAACCCGGGAACUGCGUCCGAUACUGGGAGGCUUGAAUCCGGGAGAGGGAUGUGGAAUUCCAGGUGUAGCGGUGAAAUGCGUAGAUAUCUGGAGGAACACCGGUGGCGAAGGCGGCAUCCUGGACCGGUAUUGACGCUGAGGCGCGAAAGCCAGGGGAGCAAACGGGAUUAGAUACCCCGGUAGUCCUGGCCCUAAACGAUGAAUGCUUGGUGUGGCGGGUAUCGAUCCCUGCCGUGCCGAAGCUAACGCAUUAAGCAUUCCGCCUGGGGAGUACGGUCGCAAGGCUG
rnacentral:rRNA from 1 species